UACGCAGGGGGCUAGCGUUGCUCGGAAUCACUGGGCGUAAAGGGUGCGUAGGCGGGUCUUUAAGUCAGGGGUGAAAUCCUGGAGCUCAACUCCAGAACUGCCUUUGAUACUGAGAAGCUUGAGUCCGGGAGAGGUGAGUGGAACUGCGAGUGUAGAGGUGAAAUUCGUAGAUAUUCGCAAGAACACCAGUGGCGAAGGCGGCUCACUGGCCCGGUACUGACGCUGAGGUGCGAAAGCGUGGGGAGCAAACAGG
rnacentral:rRNA from 1 species